AAAAGGGUGAUGAUAAAGUUAGUAUCAGAAUGAUAGUUGACAAAUUAGAGAGAGAUAUCAAGCUUACGCGCCUGAGGCAGUAUAGGCUCCCGAGAAGAAUGUAUGCCAGCUACCAGUGCUCUUUGAUCCUCGUAAGCAGGAGAAGAGCAUCUCACAAUGAGCACAGGACUCGAGAGGUGGUUCCUAUAAUUAUCGUCAGAGUAAAU
rnacentral:misc_RNA from 1 species